rnacentral:rRNA from 1 species
GACGAACGCUGGCGGCGUGCUUAACACAUGCAAGUCGAACGAUGACGACCGAGCUUGCUCGGUCUGAUUAGUGGCGAACGGGUGAGUAACACGUGAGCAACCUGCCCUUCACUCUGGGAUAACCUCGGGAAAUCGGGGCUAAUACCGGAUAUGAGCUCCUGUCGCAUGGCGGGUGUUGGAAAGUUUUUCGGUGAAGGAUGGGCUCGCGGCCUAUCAGUUUGUUGGUGAGGUAGUGGCUCACCAAGGCGAUGACGGGUAGCCGGCCUGAGAGGGCGACCGGCCACACUGGGACUGAGACACGGCCCAGACUCCUACGGGAGGCAGCAGUGGGGAAUAUUGCACAAUGGGCGAAAGCCUGAUGCAGCGACGCCGCGUGAGGGAUGACGGCCUUCGGGUUGUAAACCUCUUUCAGCAGGGAAGAAGCGAAAGUGACGGUACCUGCAGAAGGAGCGCCGGCUAACUACGUG